UACAGAGGCCAGGUUACACAGCCCUUUGUCAACUCAUUAUUGGUGGACAGCUCAUCUCCCCAACAGAAGUGGAUGCACGUAUUUCUUGGCACAGCAAUUUCCAAGGUACCAGGCGUCCCCAUCCUCUAGGGCUGUGGACCACUGCAAGGAAUGAGCUGCACCUCAGGAGAAGGCGAUUCUCCUCAAUGGGACUGAGAUAAUCUUCAAAUAUCCACUGACUACGGUG